CGACACUCCUGGUUUUGUGCAAUCUUUGAAAAAACGCGAGAGAGUGGAGAUGCACACUCACAGUCCGCGAAAAUAGUGCGCAAUGAUCGGAGAGCAUCCGGCAGAGGAUAAUUUGGGCGUGAGAGAGCGCGAAACUUGUGGAGAAGCUCGAAGGAAGCUAGGGGGCUCUCCCCGGAUUCUCGCGUUUCUUCUUCGCCGUUCAGUAGUCUCUCUCUCUCCCUCUCUCCCUCUCUCUCUUAGUCCCGCAAUUUUUCCACGACACGCACUAUUUUCUCGACGCCACCGUGAGCCUAUGAGGGGAGGCAAAAAGAUCUCUGCAACGACGGGGGG
ensembl:ncRNA T10B10.12 ncRNA